GGGGAUAUAGCGCAGUUGGCGCGCACUUGCGAGCGCACCUCAUUGUCAAUGAGAAGGUCGCGGGUUCGAGCCCCGUUAUCCCCG
rnacentral:tRNA from 1 species